rnacentral:rRNA from 1 species
GGUGAACGCUGGCGGCGUGCCUAAUACAUGCAAGUCGAGCGAACGGACGAUAAGCUUUCUCCUCUGCCGUUAGCGGCUGACGGGUGAGUAACACGUGGAUAACCUACCUCUAAUACUGGGAUAACUUCGUGAAACCGGAUCUAAUACCGGAUAAUAUAUUGAACCGCAUGGUUCAAUAGUUAAAGACGGUUUUGCUGUCACUUAUAGAUGGAUCCGGGCUGCAUUAUCUAGUUGGUAAGGUAACGGCUUACCAAGGCGACGAUGCGUAGCCGACCUGAGAGGGUGAUCGGGCACACUGGAACAGAGACACGGUCCAGACUCCUACGGGAAGCAGCAGUAGGGGAUCUUUCGCCAUGGGCGGAAGCCUGAAGGAGCCACGCCGCGUGAGUGAAGAAGGUCUUCCGAUUGUAAAACUCUGUUAGUAGGGAAGAACAAACGUGUAAGUAACUAUGCACGUUUCGAAGGUAACUAAUAAGAAAGGCACGGCCAAAUACGUG